GAUGAAGAACGCAGCGAAAUGCGAUACUUGGUGUGAAUUGCAGAAUCCCGUGAACCAUCGAGUCUUUGAACGCAAGUUGCGCCCGAAGCCAUUAGGCCGAGGGCACGCCUGCCUGGGCGUCACACGUCGUUGCCCCCCCCCAUCUACUCCUUCGGGAUUGCGGGGGGCGGAUGAUGGCCUCCCGUGCGCCUCGCCGCGCGGUUGGCAUAAAUGCCAAGUCCUCGGCGACGCACGCCACGACAAUCGGUGGUUGCGAAACCUCGGUUGCCCGUCGUGUGCGGUCGUCGCGCAUCGAGGGCUCGAAAAAAUUGCCGAGUUCCGGCUCGGCUUUCAACGCGACCCCAGGUCAGGCGGGGUUACCCGCUGAAUUUAAGCAUAUCAAUAAGCGGAGA
rnacentral:misc_RNA from 1 species